rnacentral:lncRNA from 1 species
AUUAAUCUAAUAUCAUAGGAGUGUCAAUGGAAAUGGCAAUUUACAAAUACUACAUGGUUUAAAUGUACAAGAGUAAACUUCAAAACAACAUGGAUGAAAUUAACCUUCAUUAUUUCUGGAUCAUUCCAUGGGCCUUUAUCAGAAAGCAUGCAUCCUCCUUUGUCAGCACAAGUGCAUGUACCACCUAAGAAUUCUGGAAGUUCGCUGAUGCAAGGUAGUGACAAACAAGUCAUUUUAGUGUCUAUGCAGGAAAUUCAAUCAGUGAUUCAUAAUUCAUAUUAAAUAGAUAAUGUCAUUCUCUCUUAUUAUUUAUUGGCAGUCACAUUCUCUGGACAUUUAGACGGAGGUACACCUUAAGCUCAGGAAAGCAAAAGAGAAUAUUUAAGUUCACCUGUGUUUACCUGGCAUCAAUUAUUUCAAGCAACUUGCUCUGGUAUUUGUUACCGAGAACCUAGAAGGAGAU